rnacentral:rRNA from 1 species
UACAGAGGUCCCGAGCGUUGUUCGGAUUCAUUAGGCGUAAAGGGUGCGUAGGCGGCGCGGUAAGUCGGUUGUGAAAUCUCGGAGCUUAACUCCGAAACUGCAUUCGAUACUGCCGUGCUUGAGGACUGGAGAGGAGACUGGAAUUUACGGUGUAGCGGUGAAAUGCGUAGAUAUCGUAAGGAAGACCAGUGGCGAAGGCGGGUCUCUGGACAGUUCCUGACGCUGAGGCACGAAGGCCAGGGGAGCAAACGGG